rnacentral:rRNA from 1 species
CCCUUUGGGGUGUGACUGCGUACCUUUUGUAUAAUGGGUCAGCGACUUAUAUUCUGUAGCAAGGUUAACCGAAUAGGGGAGCCGGAGGGAAACCGAGUCUUAACCGGGCGUUAAGUUGCAGGGUAUAGACCCGAAACCCGGUGAUCUAGCCAUGGGCAGGUUGAAGGUUGGGUAACACUAACUGGAGGACCGAACCGACUAAUGUUGAAAAAUUAGCGGAUGACCUGUGGCUGGGGGUGAAAGGCCAAUCAAACCGGGAGAUAGCUGGUUCUCCCCGAAAGCUAUUUAGGUAGCGCCUCGUGAAUUCAUCUCCGGGGGUAGAGCACUGUUUCGGCUAGGGGGCCAUCCCGGCUUACCAACCCGAUGCAAACUGCGAAUACCGGAGAAUGUUAUCACGGGAGACACACGGCGGGUGCUAACGUCCGUCGUGAAGAGGGAAACAACCCAGACCGCCAGCUAAGGUCCCAAAGUCAUGGUUAAGUGGGAAACGAUGUGGGAAGGCCCAGACAGCCAGGAUGUUGGCUUAGAAGCAGCCAUCAUUUAAAGAAAGCGUAAUAGCUCACUGGUCGAGUCGGCCUGCGCGGAAGAUGUAACGGGGCUAAACCAUGCACCGAAGCUGCGGCAGCGAACGUAUCACUUAAAGCGAUUCAGCGGGUUACGAUUGACGGAGCGAAGCGACGUCAAAGCGUAUACAAAGUCGAGUCGGUUUAAGGAUACGUUCGUUGGGUAGGGGAGCGUUCUGUAAGCCUGUGAAGGUGGCCUGUGAGGGUUGCUGGAGGUAUCAGAAGUGCGAAUGCUGACAUAAGU